rnacentral:rRNA from 1 species
AUUGAACGCUGGCGGCAUGCUUUACACAUGCAAGUCGAACGGUAACAGGCCUUCGGGUGCUGACGAGUGGCGAACGGGUGAGUAAUGCAUCGGAACGUACCCAGAGGUGGGGGAUAACGCAGCGCAAGCUGUGCUAAUACCGCAUGUGAUCUGAGGAUGAAAGCGGGGGACCGAGCAGCAAUGUUUGGCCUCGCGCCUUUGGAGCGGCCGAUGUCGGAUUAGCUAGUUGGUGGGGUAAAGGCCUACCAAGGCGACGAUCCGUAGCUGGUCUGAGAGGACGACCAGCCACACUGGGACUGAGACGCGGCCCAGACUCCUACGGGAGGCAGCAGUGGGGAAUUUUGGACAAUGGGCGCAAGCCUGAUCCAGCAAUGCCGCGUGCGGGAAGAAGGCCUUCGGGUUGUAAACCGCUUUUGGCAGGAACGAAACGGUGUCCGCUAAUACCGGGCGCUAAUGACGGUACCUGCAGAAUAAGCACCGGCUAACUACGUG